AAACAAACAAACUGUCGUUGUGAGAAAUUUUUUUUGAAAAGAAUUACUUAAAUUUUGAAAUCAAAUCAUGUUAACCCAAAUUGUAGUCAAUAUUAAAGAAUUCAUACAUAACAUCUUUGUGGGAGAGGUUGGAAACUAUACCAACAUCUGUGAGCCUUGCCAAUGUGUCAAUUGUCGUGAUUGCAUUUUGGAUGCAAUAUUUUUUGUCGGAGUUAUUCUCACACCAAUAUAUGUUUGUAUCAUUCAUGAUAUUUUGAUCAAAUUUGGAAGCUAUAAUUAUAAAAUUGCUAAAUUUAAACGCUAAAUUGUGUGCUGCAUUGGAAAAUUAUGACAAUAAAAGGAUAUUAAGAAUGUGCUGCAACAUACAAUGGGAUUUUAAAAUAAAUUACAAGAAGGUUUUUUCCCCCUCCCCCUCAAUCUUUUGGACAUUUUGUGGGUUAGUUUGUCUUCCAUUUGCCAGUGGAGCCAAUUGGCGGCGACAAAGUGAUGACGCCAACAUUUCUUUACGUGCAGGUUUUGGUUGCAGCACCAGAAGAAAAAAAAUCCAAACGUCAUGGGAAUUAUGCAAAAUUCAACGAAAUAUUGCAUGCGUUCGAGGACAUCCAACAGCGAAAUGUUGGUCAUAUAUUAGAAACACAUUGCCAUAUUGGUUUGUUUUUGUAUCUGAUGGCGCCAAUAAAUUAACUCCAUGGAUAUGCAUUCUAUGGAAGCCAUGUUGAAAAUAAAUAAAUUCAAGUUG